GGGAGUCUGUCCUCUUUCUGUGAUUUUUCUCGUCCAGGGAAACACAGGGCAGGCUGUGUGGUUUUGUCCUAAGUAACUAAGAGUUAUUGGGAUGCACACACCAGCAGCCGGAGCCAUAAACAACAUUCGUAAACUGUAGCAGGCAUUGCACUGCCGCUUUGACCAGACGGCCAGACACAAUCUGUUUGCGACUCUUUUCAGGAGUGGAAUUUCCAGGAAACUUUGGCGACCACAUCUCAAGACUUCUGAGCUUGCUCGCCACUCAGGAGAGCCUAGAGAUGGGGAAGGGGAGCUGCUGUAGGGCAGCCUUGAUGGAUAGUGCAUUCAGCGACUCCUCACGGUGUGAGUAUCCUUACCCUCCAAAGGGCACUGUCUAUGAGACCUGCAUUUGCGGACCCGAGGCUAACCCAAUGACUCUUCCUUAUGCCCUCCCUUCUCUUCCAUGAUUUUUGUUGUCUUUUCCUGGGGUGUCCUGUGGCCAUUUUCUUGUUACUCUCCUUCAGAGUACACAGAGGGAGAUCUUGGCCAAUCAUUUGUUUUGGAAGCUUGUCACUGUGUGGCUGGGUUGCCUGGCACUUCAUGUUUGUUGGGGAUGAGAGUUAGGGAGUGUUGUGUCAAUAGACUGUAGGGACAGACAUGUGUUGGAUUAUCCUGGGCUGUGUCCUAAAGGUCACUUGGGAGUGCGUAAGAAAUCCCAGCAACAAGAAGUGGGGUACACAUACCUGGUGGCCAAAGAAGAAAUGAUGGACAAGCCUCCAAACAGAGUCGCCCUAACUCGUACCCAAAAACCGUCACUGAGGAUAUUAUCCAGAAUCCCAAGAUACCAGGAGCCAGCUUUAGGCGGCACUAAGGAUCUUAUGUGACGAGGUGGCUGAUGUUGGAAAAAGGAUAGAUACCCUGUGAAGAUCUACUCUACUGAGUCAAUCAUCCACAGUUCCGAGAGGAGCCAUCCCCACUCCUUAACUUGAAUGAACAUUCAAGAAUUACCUGCUGGUGCACGUGUGUCUAAUCUAGGACUCAAUGAGACAAUGAUUCUCAGGCCACAGUAAGACUCAAUUGAGCCUAAGAGACUAGAGUUGGUAGCCUGGAGGAAGCUGACCGGCGAAGCCUCCUGAGGAUGGAGAGCAAGAGAUGCCCCUGGAAAGAACACAUCCAGCUGUCAGACGCUAUCUGAAUCCUAGGAAUGCGUUCCUUGCUUCUGAUUCCAGCACCACUAAGCUGACAUUGUUGCCCUCUGGGCAGCUUUUCAAAGGCAGGGGUCACACCAUGAGCUUGGUUUGGUUAUCCGUCUAAAAGUUAUAUCUUCCAUUCUGGAAACACUAACUGACGGAUGUUAUUGCUUGAGACAGCAAUCAGGCGCGGAGAUCAUUUGCAUAAUGGAGUGAAGUGUCGAACUGUGUUUUCUAGUCUACACAACUUGCAAGGCAAAUGCAUUAAACUCAGCCAUUGUGCCUCUGUUACCAAAACUCCUCUGUCUCAUUGAAUUCCGCUGCCUUUCGAUGUGAUCUACAGCAGUAGGCCAGCUUCGUUCCAGUCUAGCAAAGGCUCUGUGGAGACUCGGGUGCCCUGCCGAACCUUCUCCUGUCCUGAUUCUUUAUGGGAGCUUAGGCCUAGAUGCUGGCAUGCUGGGGUAGCUUCAAGCGCAUGCGCUGUGGGGCCAGGCUGCAGUAGGAGCCACAACUUUAUCCACUCGUGCACCUGAGCCUGAACAUGUGGUAUUCGUCUUGGCGAGCCAUAGUUUUAUCAAGGGGAAAGUGAGGACACUUGGAGGAUCUGUUUGCCGGGGUUUACGUGAGCUAUCAAACACUGAGGUGUCGCUAAUGACUAAACAUGGGCAGCCAGGACAAAGCUUGGCAUCGCUGAUAAAACAGUGACUUGCUUAUGAACUGUCCAGGCGAAGGGCAUCCCGCUGGUGUCAGCAGCUCCAUCAGGAAGGUGGGAAUACUCCGUGCUGAGGAAACUACACCAGUACGUGUCUACUGUCGGCAAGAAAACAGAAAAAUCUAGAGGUCAGGAACUCGCAAUUGAAGGGAGAAUCCAUGUGCUUGCCUGCAGAGAUCUUAAGCAGGGAAAGGCCCCCGGACAACUGCUUCCUCGGCUUCCUCACUCUCUGGCUUGCACCUCUCGAGUUGUUUCUUCCCAGAAGCCCUUUUUAGAACAGCGCCUCACUGCUUACAAUAGAAAGCAAUGUUGGGUGAGCAUUGCAGAGCCUCAUAGCCCUUUAUCCUGCACGUGUGGUGGGUCCUGCCAGCCUACCCACUUGAGUGUUCUGCCAAGACGCUGACUGCUACGGGCCUCACAGGAUAAGGAACACCGCUGACCGUCAGUCAUGGUGGACCAUGCUAAGAGUGCAUAACCAUCAGGACUGCACGUGCCAACCCUGAAAUCAAGCAACCAGACCCACAAGCAAAUGGGGACGUCAGAGUUAAUUACAGUGAAAAGAAAGGAGGAGGCUGAGCUGGUUGUACAAUACUCACACCGGUUUGCAACUGGAUGCUUCCAACAAGUCACUUUGGAAGGUCACAGGCAGAGGAGGAGAUCAAGACUAGAACAUUCAUCUUCAGCAACUACAGCAAAAUCCUGGAGCCAUAUUUUCAUGUGCCCAUCAUCUUCAGAGAUUAAAGGAGUCCAGGAGCAAGCCUGUGCUAACAGGGGCAUUAGGGGAGAUGAGGCAGGGGCCGAAACAGAUGGAAGAAGGCCAUUCCCUUGGGCGAGUUAGAGUGUGUGGGUUUCUCUGUGAAAGAUCCGCACCUGCACCUGCAGUGCUCUUAGACCCACCUGCCAUCAUCACAAGGCAUCAUGGUGGAGGUCGAGAUAAACCAUCCUGACCUCACUAGGCUCAAAGGCGGCUGGGACUGACAAGCCUGUAGCCUGGCUUACACCACCUAUGAAAACGGGAGCAGGAUGACAUUCUCCGAUCGACUGUCCAGUUCUCCUUUAUCUCUUCUUGGGGGCAUUUGGAGACUUGCUGUGGUUAUUUACGGUUUGGUUCAAUCCAGACUCCACACUCUUCUUGAUUAGAAAGUUAAGCUUCUCUCCUUCUUCCCCUAAUUCCCCUCACAGACACAUUCUGCCUCCAAAACAAAUGCUUCCCAGUAGCUUUGUUCUGCAGUUGCCCUUAACGAGACUACCAAAGGCCCAAGUGCCUCUGAUGGCAUGGGAAAACGAACAUGCUAUUUUCCCUGGGAUCGGCCUCAGCUGUGGGCUCUGCAGACACCAAUGACAUUUUCCUCGGGCUGCUGCAAAGAUGAUGUGAGAAUGACCACAGAGCAAGAGCACCAGGUAGCCUGACACAAGGAAGUAGUCCUAUGGGGCCAGAGAGGUGGCUGACUGGGUAAGACUGCUGUUCCAAGGGUUCAGAUCCCAGCACUCACAUCAGAUAGCUCACAACCAUCUGUGACUGCACUUUCAGAGGCUCCAACUCUUGCCUCUGCAGGUGCCCGCACAUAUGUGAGACACACUCUCUCCCUAGCCUCCAACACACACACACACACACACACACCACACACACACACACACACACACGAGGAGGGGGGGAUAAAAGUAAAUCUUUCUUGGGGGAGACUCCCUCUGGAGCUCUCAGGGAGGGAGGAACCGCUGAACAUACACAUCAAAGCAAGUGCAGGUGACGCCAUCACAAGUCCCAUCUUGAGCCAAGGUAGUGGUGUCACGAUGAUAAAUAGUGGUGUGGAAUGGCAGGAUGAUAAGGGGAGCCGAUUACCAUCAAACAUACUCAUCCGUUUAAUUAGCAAGUCUGAAAGGCCCUCCCCACCCCAGCUGGUGAGUUGGGAUGGUGACCCACAUUUCGAUGAAUAACAGACACCGCUGUGGGACAUUGUUGUGUUCUCAGGGCCAAUGAACCAUUUUCAGGUACAACUUAUUUUUUCUUCUCUGUUCUGGAUAGGAAUGCAACUUGAAUGUAGGAACACAAGAACAAAGUAAACUGGAAACAAGGCAAAAGAAAGAGCCCUUUCUUCUUGACUAAAGCUAGGUUUGGCUUGGUUCUCUUUUGGAAAAUCUCCAUAUUCUGAAGCCAGGCACUCGAGAGAGGCACAGCUCCACAAGGCAGGGAACAGUGAGGGUAGAAGAGAAAGGGACCUGAAUUCAUGCUGCAAUUUCUUUUAAAGGAUUUAUCUAUUUUAAGUGAGAACACUGUUGCUCUCUUCAGACACACCAGUAGAGGGCAUCAGAUCCCAUUACAGAUGGUUGUGAGCUACCAUGUGGUUGCUGGGAAUUGAACUCGGGACCUCAGGAAGAGCAGUCAGUGCUUUUAACUGCUGAGCCUUCUCUCCAGCCCCAUGCUGCAGUUUUUCCAGUGUUCCCAUGGGAGGUGUGUAUUCUGCACACUCAGUAUGACAGGCAGUGUAGCACUGUAGUUAGUUAUGAGGUUGUGCUUAAAGGCUCCAAUAGUCAGGUGGAGCUCUAGCCCACUAAUGUCCAGUUCUGUGACUUCUGAACAACGUGUCCAACUGCCUUAGCUUCAGUUAACCCAUCUCUAAAAGGUACAUUCCUAUCUGCCACAAACGGGAUCACUAAGUGAGUUAAUACUUGGUGGCUAAUAAGUGGUAUUUUCUGGCCAUUUUCAAUGUCGGGAAGAUCAUAGCCUGGUCCUGAGAUCCACUGAGUUUCCAAAUGAUGAUCUGCUUUUCCACUGAGACAUGAUGUCAGCUAAGAAGAAAUAUAAGAGGGAACAGUUAUUUAUAGAGUUCCUGGAUUCUUAGAAGAUCUUGCCCAUGACAGAAACCAUUGUAAUCUUGUCUGAGCUGUCCUUUCAUUAUUGCCUAAGGCCUGCUGGUAGCAUCUGGGAAUUUGGGUGUUCCAUAGUAAUCUCCUUUGAACUAAAAAAUUCCAUCAGGGAGAGAAGCUCAUUAAUACUCAGGAAGUGUGUGUGUGUGUGUGUGUGUGUGUGUGUGUGUGUGUGUGUGUGUGCACAUGUGUGCAUGUUUGUGUGGAUGGGUUUGCUACAUGCAGGCAAUGUCAGUGGAGGACACAAGAUGAACUGCCUGAUGUGGGUGCUAAGAACUGCUUGCCUCUGCAAGAGCAGCAAGUGCUCUUAACUGCUGAGGCAUCUUUCCAACACUUAGAAAGUUUUAAAGGUAGGUUGUUUGAGACUGAGGAAAUAAACAACUCAGAAAUCUCAGGAAAUCCAUGAAGUUUAUCAAAUUCAUAAGGCUCCUUCCUCCCUGUGGUUGUACAUGCAGUAAGAACUGCUGAGGGGAAGAGACUCUCACCUGUCAAGCUGGCUACAAAUUGUGCAGAGAGCUCCAGGGUCCCAGCUUUUGUGAAUCUUCAUUCAUGCUGGGUGGGCUUUGGUGAUGAGGCUGCCUUUAAGUCACCCUACUUCUACAAGAAUUCUUUCACCCAUAUUCCUUUAAGUAACACCAUAAAAUCUCAUUUGUUUACCAAGUUGGGCUUUGGUGGCAUUAUUACUUUGAUCUGUUACCAG
rnacentral:lncRNA from 1 species